AUAUGAACCAUUUGGAGAUCUUAUUGAAAUGCAAACUCUGAGUAGGUCUGGGGUGGGGGCCGUGAUUUUGCAUUUCUGACAGGUGCCUAGGUGAUGCCCUA
rnacentral:pre_miRNA from 1 species